CCUACGGGAGGCAGCAGUAGGGAAUAUUGCUCAAUGGGGGAAACCCUGAAGCAGCAACGCCGCGUGGAGGAUGAAGGUUUUCGGAUUGUAAACUCCUUUUGUUAGAGAAGAUAAUGACGGUAUCUAACGAAUAAGCAACGGCUAACUCCGUGCCAGCAGCCGCGGGAAUACGGAGGGUGCAAGCGUUACUCGGAAUCACUGGGCGUAAAGAGCGCGUAGGCGGGAUAGCAAGUCAGAUGUGAAAUCCUAUGGCUUAACCAUAGAACUGCAUUUGAAACUGUUAUUCUAGAGUAUGGGAGAGGGAGGUGGAAUUCUUGGUGUAGGAGUAAAAUCCGUAGAGAUCAAGAGGAAUACUCAUUGCGAAGGCGACCAUCUAGAACAUAACUGACGCUGAGGCGCGAAAGCGUGGGGAGCAAACAGGAUUAGAUACCCGAGUAGUC
rnacentral:rRNA from 1 species